GCCUCUCGCAUCGUAAUACAUCCCCCUUGCUUGCCGAAAAUAAAUUUAUCCACAGCCUUUUGGAAAAUGAAAAUAAGAGGUCAGAUUACUUGAAAAGGACCAUAGUUGCCAUGGAGGUCAUGAAUUCACAAGUUUCAUCAGACUUUCUUCCCAGGAUACUUUGGGAGUUCCAGUCCCAAUCCUGAGAUGACAAUCAGGAUCUUGUAGAGUCACUGCCAUGCAGCCACUGAAGACUCCUCCAUCUCUCAUCUGAUUGUCUACGGAGAUUCUCA